CUCCCGGGCGCCGGGCUCCUGCCGGACUGGACGGACAGACCGACCGACGCGGGCCACCGGGCUCUCCUCGCCGCCGGCGCGGCGGGCGCGGGGCCGCGCGGGGACGCCUGAUCUCUGCAGCGCGGGCGAGUGGCCGCGCGGAGCGGAACCAGCCAAAGGCGCCCGGACGCCUGCAGGACAGGCCUGUCUUAAAGCAGAUGGAAUGAAAAGCAGAAGCUUACAGUCCUACACGUGAUGGCAGAGCACAUCGGCUGAGGGCUCUGUCUCACCCAGACCUGUGAGAGUGAUUUCCCAGCGAUUGCUUCGGCCGGUACAACCAGAGAACAGGAUUCUUUUCUUUUUGGCUGCUAAAUGCCUCUGUAUUCCACACUUUCCAGUGAGGGGAGAAGGCUGGAGCUUCUUGGAUGAUGAUGGAUAUUCCGCUGGGCAGGAUGAGGGCAGAGUGUGUGACAUCAACACCACAAGGGUAAGAGCUGCCUGUCUGGUGUUUUCUCUGAUGCCAGCAUUUACCAAAGGAAGGGGAGAAAAACCUAGUGACAGAAAUGAGGGUUAAGCAUCUGGGAGACUCUUCAGUUUGUAAACAUCCAUGGGGCAGUUGGGGUAGAUGACUGAGGAAGGAAGGGAGAGGGCUGGCCUGGAAGGACUGGGUUGCUGUGUGCUGGGAGACACAGCAGGUCAACUUUGGAAGAUCCUGUUGUCCACAUGGCCCACCCUCUUUUGUGGUUAUAGUUCACACUUGAGGAAGUGACACUCCUUACUGUGACAAGGUUCCAUUUGUGUCCAUUUGAGUUAGCCUGGCCUGUAAUGAGUGCUAUGGUGCCGAACCUGAGAAGAAUCUCGCUCUGGUCCCAGAUUGAGGACUUAUUGGCAGUACUGGGCCCGGAGACACACUUUUGCUUGAGCUAUAUAGGUGGCUGAGAUGGUAAAGAAUCUGCCUCCAAUUCAGGAGACCCAAGUUCGAUCCCUGGGUUGAGAGGAUCCACUAGAAAAAGAAAUGGCAACCCCCUUCAGUAUUCUUGAUUGGAAAAUCCCAUGGACAAAGGAUCUUGGUGGGCUACAGUUUACGGGGUCCCAAAGAAUUGGACACAACUGCACAAUUGACACUUCCUAUAGUGUUAAAAACUUUUUGGAUCAAUUCUGAUUAAUGUUGAGAUAUCUUACGUAAAAAUGAGGAUUUCUGGGUUUUCCAGGAACACUGUAAGAUACACCCAAACUGGCCUUCUGUUCUCAAAAAGGACUCAUGCCGAGUAGUCUUUGCCUCUGAGAUAAGCCUGGGUGGUUCACUGCAGUCCCAACUAGCCCACUUCAUUUGUGUAACUUACUUGUUGGUUGUUUGGUCACUGGAGGCAUGUCAUUUCACCAUGCCUGAUCUACAGCCUUCUGCUAGCUCUUUCACAAAAACAGUGUUUUUGUUUUUUUUUUUUUAAGAACAGUUUACAGAAAAAUUGUGCAGAAAUUGCUGAGUUCCCAUGUACACCCUCCCCUUAUCCACACAGUUCAUCCUACUUUUCACAUCUUGCCUUGGUGCAGUGUUUAUUACAAUUGUUAGCCAA
ensembl:lncRNA